rnacentral:misc_RNA from 1 species
GAUGAAGAACGUAGCAAAAUGCGAUAAGUAAUGUGAAUUGCAGAAUUCAGUGAAUCCUCGAAUCUUUGAACGCACAUUGCGCCCGCCAGUAUUCUGGCGGGCAUGCCUGUUCGAGCGUCAUUUCAACCCUCAAGCUCAGCUUGGUGUUGGGACUCGCGGUAACCCGCGUUCCCCAAAUCGAUUGGCGGUCACGUCGAGCUUCCAUAGCGUAGUAAUCAUACACCUCGUUACUGGUAAUCGUCGCGGCCACGCCGUAAAACCCCAACUUCUGAAUGUUGACCUCGGAUCAGGUAGUAAUACCCGCUGAACUUAAGCAUAUCAAUAAGCGGAGGA